rnacentral:lncRNA from 1 species
UUUUAGAUUCCACAUGUAAGUGAUAGCAUAUGGUAUUUGUCUUUCUGAUUCACUUAGUUGUGAUAAUUUCGACUGCAUCCAUGUUGCUGCAAAUGGCAUUAUUUCAUCAUUUUUUGUGGCGGAGUAAUAUUCCAUUGUAAAUAUGUACCACAUCUUCUUUAUCCAUGCCUCUGUGGAUGGACAUUUAGGUUGCUUCCAUGUAUUGGCUUUUGUAAAUAGUGCUGCUGUGAUCGUAGGGGUGCAUGUGUCUUUUUGAGUUAAGAUUUUCUCCAGAUCGAUGGCCAGGAGUGGGAUUGCUGGAUCAUAUGGUAGUUCUAUUUUUAGUUUUUUGAGGAACUCCAUACUGUUUUCCACAGUGGUUGUACCCAUUUACCCUCCCACCAAUAGUGUAGGAGGGCUCUCUUUUCUCCAAACUCUCUCCAGCAUUUAUUGUUUGUAGAUGUUUUAAUUAUGGUCUGAUUGGUGUAAAGUGCUACCUAAUAGUAGUUUUGAUUUUCAUUUCUCUAAUAAUUAGUUGAGCAUCUUUUCAUGUGUUUUUUUGGUUAUCUAUAUGUCUUCUUUGGAGAAAGAAAUGUCUAUUUAGAUCUUCUCCCCAUUUUUUGAAUGAGUUGAGUGUGUAUUUUGGAGAUGCAUCCCUUGUCAUUCGCAUCAUUUGCAAAUUUUUUCUCCCAUUCUGUGGGUUGUCUUUUCAUUUUGUUUAUGGUUUCUUUUGCUGUGCAAAAACUUUUAAGUUUAAUUAGGUUAAAAAUAAUCUAUAUUAUUUUUCCAUUAAAAAUUAAAGGAAGAGUUUUGCAAGAUAAAAAGUUCUAGAGAUCUGUACACAACAUGAAUGAACUGGACACCACUGAACUGAACACUUAAAAAUGGCCACAAUGGUGCAUUUUAAAGUGAUGUACUUUUUAGCACAAUCUUUCAAAAGGGUGGGGGAAGAAUAGGCAAGUUUCAGGAAAGUUGGAAAAGAUUAAAAACUAACAAUAGAUAAAAUCUAAUCCCCAAAGACCAUUAAUUAAUGAAUAACACUUAGACACUUUUCCUGCUGUCCUCUCGCAGCUCUGAUGCCCCCAUCCCCAGGAAGGCCUUACAGACACCACAGGUCCAGGGAGGGGGACGCGAUGGGGGGGGAUAUUCUCCCUUCGCGUUGGCCCAGCUCCCCUGGGCCCUUCAUCUGCACCCUUGCAUGAGGACUGUCCCCAGUGGCUUCAGUGGAACGUCCUCUUGGGGAUAUUGGGCACAUAGCUUGCUUGCUGAGAGAGGUCAGUGCUGCUGGGGCUCUGGGGUCAGGCAGGUGCACUGAGCUUGGCUCUCCCCACAGGGCUCGGGGCUGUAACUGCAGUCUUGCAGGAUCCCCGGCAGCAGUGGUAGGAGUGUGAAGUUCCUCUCUUGGAGUCUGGCUCAUACCCCAUACGCAUCUAUCUGUCUGGAUUGUAGAAGACAGCCUUGCUCACUUUAGCCCCUGGGGCUAUAAAAAAAUUAAGUCUGCAUUAAGGAAAAUAGAAAGUGACCUAGUGAUGAUGUAUUUGGAAGGUAGGUUUGGGGGUGGGUAUGAUGGAAGAAUUUAUACUCAGCCACUUUUUGUUUAAAAUUCUGCUGUGUCACAAUAGGAUUGGUGUUGUCCUGGGAGCACUGGUACUUGGGUUUGAUUCCCUGCCCGGCACAGUGGGUUAAGGAUCCGGUUUUGCCACAGUUGAUGCUUAGGUUGAGACUGGGGCUCAGAUCCAAUCCCUGACUCGGGAGCUCCAUAUGCCGUGGGC